rnacentral:rRNA from 1 species
GUGGGGAAUUUUGCGCAAUGCUCGAAAGAGUGACGCAGCGACGCCGCGUGAAUGACGAAGGCCUUCGGGUCGUAAAGUUCUUUCGACAGGGAAGAAUGUGUAUAGUAGUAACUGACUAUACAGUGACGGUACCUGUAUAAGCAGCCCCGGCUAACUCCGUGCCAGCAGCCGCGGUAAUACGGAGGGGGCGAGCGUUGUUCGGAGUGACUGGGCGUAAAGAGCACGUAGGCGGUGGUGUAAGUCAUUAGUCAAAGACUAGAGCUCAACUUUAGUAAGGCUAGUGAUACUAUAGUACUAGAGUAUCAGAGAGGAUUGCAGAAUUCCUGGUGUAGCGGUGAAAUGCGUAGAUAUCAGGAGGAAUACCAUUAGCGAAGGCGGCGAUCUGGCUGGAAACUGACGCUGAGGUGCGAAAGCGUGGGUAGCAAACAGG